UACGGAGGGUGCAAGCGUUAUCCGGAUUCACUGGGUUUAAAGGGUGCGUAGGCGGACAAGUAAGUCAGUGGUGAAAUCUCUGGGCUUAACUCAGAAACCGCCGUUGAUACUAUUUGUCUUGAAUAUCUUGGAGGUAAGCGGAAUAUGUCAUGUAGCGGUGAAAUGCUUAGAUAUGACAUAGAACACCGAUAGCGAAGGCAGCUUACUACAGGAAGAUUGACGCUGAGGCACGAAAGCGUGGGGAGCAAACAGG
rnacentral:rRNA from 1 species